GCUAGCUACAGGCUUAACACAUGCAGGUCGAGGGGCAGCAUGAACUUAGCUUGCUAAGUUUGAUGGCGACCGGCGCACGGGUGAGUAACACGUAUCCAACCUGCCGAUGACUCGGGGAUAGCCUUUCGAAAGAAAGAUUAAUACCCGAUGGCAUAGUUCUUCCGCAUGGUAGAACUAUUAAAGAAUUUCGGUCAUCGAUGGGGAUGCGUUCCAUUAGGUUGUUGGCGGGGUAACGGCCCACCAAGCCUUCGAUGGAUAGGGGUUCUGAGAGGAAGGUCCCCCACAUUGGAACUGAGACACGGUCCAAACUCCUACGGGAGGCAGCAGUGAGGAAUAUUGGUCAAUGGACGAGAGUCUGAACCAGCCAAGUAGCGUGAAGGAUGACUGCCCUAUGGGUUGUAAACUUCUUUUAUACGGGAAUAAAGUGAGGCACGUGUGCCUUUUUGUAUGUACCGUAUGAAUAAGGAUCGGCUAACUCCGUGCCAGCAGCCGCGGUAAUACGGAGGAUCCGAGCGUUAUCCGGAUUUAUUGGGUUUAAAGGGAGCGUAGGCGGACGCUUAAGUCAGUUGUGAAAGUUUGCGACUCAACCGUAAAAUUGCAGUUGAUACUGGGUGUCUUGAGUACAGUAGAGGCAGGCGGAAUUCGUGGUGUAGCGGUGAAAUGCUUAGAUAUCACGAAGAACUCCGAUUGCGAAGGCAGCCUGCUGGACUGUAACUGACGCUGAUGCUCGAAAGUGUGAGUAUCAAACAGGAUUAGAUACCCUGGUAGUCCACACAGUAAACGAUGAAUACUCGCUGUUUGCGAUAUACAGUAAGCGGCCAAGCGAAAGCGUUAAGUAUUCCACCUGGGGAGUACGCCGGCAACGGUGAAACUCAAAGGAAUUGACGGGGGCCCGCACAAGCGGAGGAACAUGUGGUUUAAUUCGAUGAUACGCGAGGAACCUUACCCGGGCUUGAAUUGCAACUGAAUGAUGUGGAGACAUGUCAGCCGCAAGGCAGUUGUGAAGGUGCUGCAUGGUUGUCGUCAGCUCGUGCCGUGAGGUGUCGGCUUAAGUGCCAUAACGAGCGCAACCCUUAUCGAUAGUUACCAUCAGGUGAUGCUGGGGACUCUGUCGAGACUGCCGUCGUAAGAUGUGAGGAAGGUGGGGAUGACGUCAAAUCAGCACGGCCCUUACGUCCGGGGCUACACACGUGUUACAAUGGGGGGUACAGAAGGCAGCUACACGGCGACGUGAUGCUAAUCCCGAAAGCCUCUCUCAGUUCGGAUUGGAGUCUGCAACCCGACUCCAUGAAGCUGGAUUCGCUAGUAAUCGCGCAUCAGCCACGGCGCGGUGAAUACGUUCCCGGGCCUUGUACACACCGCCCGUCAAGCCAUGAAAGCCGGGGGUACCUGAAGUGCGUAACCGCGAGGAGCGCCCUAGGGUAAAACUGA
rnacentral:rRNA from 1 species